GAAGGGUCUUCCAGCCCGGGACACAGGAGGUCAGGCCUGGCCAGGAGUGGGCAGCAAUGGGGCGCGAGGCCUGGGCUAGGGGCUGGGGGGAGCCAGACAAGGUGCUGGGAGGGUUUUCACAGGGGAGGGCAAAGACCCAUUUGUUGUUUUUCAUUUUACUUUAAUCAGUUCCCCACUCCCUGUUCUUCCUCGGGAAUCUCAAAGGCCUCAGCCCCUCAGCAGCUGUGAUGUGCUGUGUGUCCCCGUGUGCCUCCCGCUGUCAUGUCAGAGCUGGCCUUGGGCAGGCUGAUGCCAUCGGACUUCCCAGCACGUCCUUGGAGUGGUGGUGCAAUCUGCCCGGGCACGCUGGACAGUCCUCCUGCCCGUCCCUGCCUGUGGGCACCCUCCCCUCUCCCAUCAGCUGGGUCUGUUCUCAUCUGUUCUAGGGGUUUCUGAACCUGUGGCCAUGAGCCAGCAUUUCCCAUCCCUCCUCAGCCCACCCACAAGGAGGCUGGGGCCCCAGAGGACCCCAGAAGGCCCCUCCCAUCCAGAGGACACUGUGGGUGCAGCUGAGGUGUGGAGGUGCCAGGACCAGCACCCUGGACUUGCUCUAGACUCUGCGGCUUCCCAGAUGCCCUGACCUUGAAACCUGGAAGCAAAUCCCGGAACUCACUUCCUGCAGGGCCUCAGUCAUGUCUCCGUGCUGACGCAGUGAAGAGGUGCAGGUCCCAAAGGCCCUCCCCACCUCACCUCCCGGCCCCUCUCCCUGCCCAUAGGUCUGGCCGCACCCCCCUGUAGUCUGCCUCCUGGGGAGGAAAUGGUCUGACAAGGCUGACCCGGAACAUUUUCCUUUAACUCAGCUGUAGAGUGAGGGCCCAGCCAAGCCCCAGAGGCAGCUGAGAGGGGCAGGCAGAGGGCACCCUGGUGGUCCAGGAGCCCCCACCUUGAUGUUCUUCCCUGGUGGGGUGUGCCAGAGCCGCCUGGAGAAGAUCCUGGGGCUGCGGUCACGGGCCAAGGCCAGAGCAACUGUCUUCGAAUAGGCUGGACACCCCCAAGGUGCACUGUGGAGGAAGAGGGGCUCCCUCUCCGGGGACAGACCAGGCCCCCACUUUCAGGGACUCCUGUGAACCAGGCUGGGCCAGCCCUCAGGCCUGCAGGAGAACUUUCCACCUCCCCUGGGUCUGUGGGUCCUACUCAUUCCAAUCCUUUCUGGCCCCACACCCAGUGUCCAAAUCUGCACCCCAUGAUAUUUUGAAAAGUUCUCAGGUUCCUCUCCCAGUUCUGAGAAGCAACUCAAACCUCAGCCCUGACCCAGCACCCUCCAUCCGCCUGCCCCGGGCUGAGUUCCAGUGGCCCUGGGCCAGAAGCCUGUGUGCCCAGCGGUCUCUGGAGCAGCGGGGCUGUCCACCCGCAGCUGUGUCUCCUGAUCCCAGCCAAGAGGACCGUGAGUGUUAGGGCUGGUGCAGAAAGCAGCAGCCCCUCGUCUGUAGCCUUGGACAUAACAUCUCCUUUCCUGCAGUGGUUUUACUCUUGGGCCAUGGCAUUAGUGACAGCGGUGUCACAAACGCAAACACAAAAAUGCAACACAAACAGAACAAUGGGUGGGCGCGGUGGCUCACACCUGUAAUCCCAGCAAUUUGGGAGGCUGAGGCAGAAGAUCACUUGAAGCAGAGAGUUCCAGACCAGUCUGGGCAACACAACAAGGCCCCAUCGCUACCAAAAAUUAAAAAUUAGCCUGGCGCGGUGGUGGCACCUAUAGUCCCAGCUACUCGGGUGGCUGAGGUGAGAGGAACGCUUGAGCCCAGGAGUUCGAGGCUGCAGUGAGCUGUGAUCACCACUGCACUCCAGCCUGGGUGACAGAGUGAGACCCUGUCUCAAAUCAAAAACCAAUACAAAGAAGAAAAAUGAAAGAAACCGAAAAUGGAGGAAACAGCAACCAAAAUGCCUGUUGACUGGAGAAUGUUUGUGCCCAUGUGGUCCAGGCACAUGCGAGCUUGCCAAUCACUUUGAGAGGGGUCAGCAUGUGAAGAGAUAUCAAAGAUUUCACUACUCGAACCCGUGUCAGAAGCUGACCACACCCCAAGCUAGUCAAGUGUUUAGAACGGAGCCAUAGUCUGAUGGGUGUUUCUGUGGAGGCCUCUCCUGCAGUUCUCUUGAACCUGGCCUGCUGUGUCUCUAUUCCACCUGGUCCCUUGAGAAUCCUCCAGAAGCCAGAUGACUCCUGCAUCCGUCUCCUCCUUCUGUGCUCCAGUCCCUCUCCCUGAGGGCAGCCUAUUGACCAGGUUGCAAGAAGAACCCAGGCUGACUUUCUCUCCAUGGGGCCCUCAUCUGAUCCACUGAAAAUACUCACAUAUCUCCAGUGCCAGCCUCAGAGGCACAGUUGUUUCCUUUCGGUCAAUAUUUGCCUGGAGGUUUUUUUUU
rnacentral:lncRNA from 1 species